rnacentral:misc_RNA from 1 species
GAUGAAGAACGUAGCGAAAUGCGAUAAGUAGUGUGAAUUGCAGAAUUCAGUGAAUCAUCGAAUCUUUGAACGCACAUUGCGCCCCUUGGUAUUCCAUGGGGCAUGCCUGUUCGAGCGUCAUUUGUACCUUCAAGCUUUGCUUGGUGUUGGGUGUUUGUCCAUUCUCUUGCAGAGGGACUCGCCUUAAAGUAAUUGUCAGCCAGUGUUUUGGUUUUGAAGCGCAGCACAAGUCGCGAUUCAAAGCUAUACGCCCGCUUCCACAAGCCUUCUUCACUUUUGACCUCGGAUCAGGUAGGGAUACCCGCUGAACUUAAGCAUAUCAAUAAGCGGAGGA